CUACGGGAGGCUCCAGUGAGGAAUAUUGCACAAUGGGGGGAACCCUGAUGCAGCAACGCCGCGUGGAGGAUGACGCAUUUCGGUGUGUAAACUCCUUUUAUAUGUCAAGAAAAUGACGGUAGCAUAUGAAUAAGCACCGGCUAACUCCGUGCCAGCAGCCGCGGUAAUACGGAGGGUGCAAGCGUUACUCGGAAUCACUGGGCGUAAAGGACGCGUAGGCGGGUUGGAAAGUCACGGUGUGAAAUCCUACAGCUUAACUGUAGAACUGCACUUGAAACUUCUAAUCUAGAGUAUGGGAGGGGGAGAUGGCAUUAGUGGGGUAGGGGUAAAAUCCGUAGAUAUCACUAGGAAUACCUAAAGCGAAGGCGAUCUCCUGGAACAUUACUGACGCUAAGGCGUGAAAGCGUGGGGAGCAAACAGGAUUAGAUACCCCGGUAGUC
rnacentral:rRNA from 1 species